AGGGGCAUAGCUCAAUGGUAGAGUGCAUGCUUAACAUGCAUGAGGUCCAAGGUUCAAUCCCCAGUACCUCCA
rnacentral:tRNA from 1 species